UGCCAUACUAUGCUGAAUAUAUAGGUUCUCAUUCGAUCAACGAAGUCAAGCAUCAUCAGGCGCUGUCAGUACUUGGGAGGGUGACCACUUGGGAACACCGCAUGCUGUUG